rnacentral:rRNA from 1 species
GAUGAACGCUGGCGGCGUGCCUAAUACAUGCAAGUCGAGCGAACAGACGAGGAGCUUGCUCCUCUGACGUUAGCGGCGGACGGGUGAGUAACACGUGGAUAACCUACCUAUAAGACUGGGAUAACUUCGGGAAACCGGAGCUAAUACCGGAUAACAUGUUGAACCGCAUGGUUCAACAGUGAAAGACGGUCUUGCUGUCACUUAUAGAUGGAUCCGCGCCGCAUUAGCUAGUUGGUAAGGUAACGGCUUACCAAGGCAACGAUGCGUAGCCGACCUGAGAGGGUGUUCGGCCACACUGGACCUGAGCCACGGUCCAGACUCCUACGGGAGGCAGCAGUAGGGAACCUUCCGCAAUGGGCGAAAGCCUGACGGAGCAACGCCGCGGGAGUGAAGAAGGUCUUCGGAUCGUAAAACUCUGUUAUUAGGGAAGAACAAAUGUGUAAGUAACUAUGCACGUCUGGACGGUACCUAAUCAGAAAGCCACGGUUAACUCCGU